rnacentral:rRNA from 1 species
GAUGAACGCUGGCGGCGUGCCUAAUACAUGCGAGUCGAGCGAACAGAGGAGGAGCUUGCUCCUCUGACGUUAGCGGCGGACGGGUAAGUAACACGUGGAUAACCUACCUAUAAGACUGGGAUAACUUCGGGAAACCUGAGCUCAUACCGGAUAAUAGAUUGAACCGCAUGGUUCAAUAGUGAAAGACGGUUUUGCUGGCACUUAUAGAUGUAUCCUCGCCGCAUUAGCUAGUUGGUAAGGUAACGGCUUACCAAGGCAACGAUGCGUAGCCGACCUGAGAGGGAGAUCGACCAAAACUGAAACGGUGCAUGGUCCCGACCUCCAAGGGAGGCAGCAGUAGGGAAAUUUCGGCAAUGGGGGGAAGCUUGACGCAGGAACGCCGCGUGAGUGAUGGAGGUCUUCGGAUCUUAAAACUCUGUUAGUAGGGAAGAACAAAUGUGUAAGUAACUAUGCACGUCUUUACCGUAACUAAUCGGAAAACCACGGCUAAAUACCUG